GUCGAUGCCGAGCUCGCUCAUCCCGUAGAGGAUGCGGCGGUGAACGGGUUUGAGAC
rnacentral:sRNA from 1 species